UACGUAGGGGGCAAGCGUUGUCCGGAAUCAUUGGGCGUAAAGAGCGUGUAGGCGGCCCGGUAAGUCCGCUGUGAAAGUCCAGGGCUCAACCCUGGGAUGCCGGUGGAUACUGUCGGGCUCGAGUCCGGAAGAGGAGUGUGGAAUUCCUGGUGUAGCGGUGAAAUGCGCAGAUAUCAGGAGGAACACCAAUGGCGAAGGCAGCACUCUGGGACGGUACUGACGCUGAGACGCGAAAGCGUGGGGAGCAAACAGG
rnacentral:rRNA from 1 species